CAAUAAGCGGAGGAAAAGAAACUAACAAGGAUUCCCCUAGUAACUGCGAGUGAAGCGGGAAAAGCUCAAAUUUAAAAUCUGGCGGUCUUUGGCUGUCCGAGUUGUAAUCUAGAGAAGUGUUAUCCGUGCUGGACCGUGUACAAGUCUCCUGGAAUGGAGCGUCAUAGAGGGUGAGAAUCCCGUCUUUGACACGGACUGCCAGGACUUUGUGAUGCGCUCUCAAAGAGUCGAGUUGUUUGGGAAUGCAGCUCAAAAUGGGUGGUAAAUUCCAUCUAAAGCUAAAUAUUGGCGAGAGACCGAUAGCGAACAAGUACCGUGAGGGAAAGAUGAAAAGAACUUUGGAAAGAGAGUUAAACAGUACGUGAAAUUGCUGAAAGGGAAACGCUUGAAGUCAGUCGCGUUGUCCAGGGAUCAACCUUGCUUUUGCUUGGUGCACUUUCUGGUUGACGGGUCAGCAUCAAUUUUGACUAUUGGAAAAAGAUUAGGGGAAUGUGGCAUCUUUGGAUGUGUUAUAGCCCUUGGUUGCAUACAAUGGUUGGGAUUGAGGAACUCAGCACGCCGCAAGGCCGGGUUUUAACCACGUACGUGCUUAGGAUGCUGGCAUAAUGGCUUUAAUCGACCCGUCUUGAAACACGGACCAAGGAGUCUAACAUGCCUGCGAGUGUUUGGGUGGAAAACUCGAGCGCGUAAUGAAAGUGAAAGUUGAGAUCCCUGUCGUGGGGAGCAUCGACGCCCGGACCAGACCUUUUGUGACGGUUCCGCGGUAGAGCAUGUAUGUUGGGACCCGAAAGAUGGUGAACUAUGCCUGAAUAGGGUGAAGCCAGAGGAAACUCUGGUGGAGGCUCGUAGCGAUUCUGACGUGCAAAUCGAUCGUCAAAUUUGGGUAUAGGGGCGAAAGACUAAUCGAACCAUCUAGUAGCUGGUCU
rnacentral:rRNA from 2 species